UGAUGGUACAACACACAUGCAAUAAAUGAUGAUAAGAUAAUGAAGAUAAAUAAUAAUAGGUGAAUAAAUAAAGAUUCUGAGUCAGGCUAGGAGCACUAAAGUUAAUGAUAGUGAGUGAAUAUGCGCUAACAUAUUAACCUACACUAACUUUGGUGUCGAGAUAAACUCGGAUGUGGAUUUGGAGGAAUCUAAGAUCACCAGAAAUAGGUGGAUAUCUGAGUUAUGAACGCAUGAGACAGCACCAGCCCUCUUUGGAGCUCUGGAGGUUUGCAUACUUAAGUGAGACUGGUCCUUGGAGAAGAUGGAGCAGGUUCCGAAGGUCCGGGGCUACUGGCGGUUCGAGCGGUUCAACUCAGAAGACGACUGAAGUCAGCCGAAGGAUGAGCCAGGAGUUGCAGCACUCGGGCCCGAAGCAAAGCCAGCGCCUGUGGAUCCUGUGGAUGCUCGUUUGGGUACUUCUUUGGUCUCACUCAAAAACUCUGGCACAGAGGAUGACCUGGGCCUGCUGAGUUGCGUUCAGAGGUGACUUUGAAAUCACGCAGAAAACUCAGAAAAACGAGGCUCGAAGAGCAGAGAAAACUUUCAAAAAUGGCUUCGCGAAAUUAAAGAAAAAUCAAUCAAAGGCUUAAUCUUGAAUUGCUAUGUGCACAAAAAGUUGAAGUUUCAAAACUUGAACUAAGACGAUGUUAAAGAAAAUUCAACGUGAAUCAACACGUGGCGUAAAACUUAGUAGACUAAGAAAAAGUUCUAAGAGAAAACAAAGAAACGCACCACAGAAGGGUGUGGGCAGAAGAGUAGGUACAAGAAAGGAAGGAAUAAGAGAAUGAGAGCAACCCCACUUCACUGGUUUUAUCUUCUCACACUGGGAGUGGCUCCGGCGCGUGUGUGAGGAGACAGAGGAGGGUCGUGUGGUCUUUGAUUAUUCGAUCUAACUUAUUCUUUUGGCUGGUAAAAGAGUCAGAUCUGAUACUCACUCACUAUGAUUAAUAUUGAAUGCUAGGUUUCAUGAUAAAUAAUUUGACACUAAACACAUAUGAAUGAAGUGUAGGAUCACAUCAAACAUUCUCAUUAUGUUUUAAGUAUCACAUUGAACAUGCUAAAUUACUCUGAAAUGAAACAGAUAGUAACACAUGGAAACUGUGAACAACAAAAGAGUAAACACAUGUGAAUGAACUUCAUCAUGAUUAAUAAUGGAUUCUAAAUACUCACAUUCAGGUUAUUCAAUGACAUUAUAACCACCUAAUGGUUAAAAAUACUAAAUAAACAACUACAAUAUAAACCAAACAUUUCUAAACUGUUUCUGUUACUUAGAGUAAACUUAGGAUUCAUAGUCAAUAAAUUUAACUCUUAAAAGUUCAUGAAACAGUCUGAAAAGCUGUUGGUCUAAAGAAACUAAAGAAUAAAGGAUUUAUUCUGUCACAGAGCUAACUCUGCUUCUGUAGCACAUAGAAAAAUGGGAAACAUCUCAUUUUAACACAAAUUUCAUGAUUAGACAGAUUAGUACAUUGCUGAAUGCACAAGAUGUCAGGAUCAGUCAUUUGUAUUCUUUCACCAAAGGAAUGUAGUCUUUAUCAGUGUAUGGUCGAGCAGGGUUUUACGAACGAGGUCUGGAGGUCAGUGUCCCCCCCUUUUCCUGGGGUCCGUACGUUCACACACUUUAAGACGCUAAAUCUCAAAUGGGAGAUCUGGGUUGAGACGUUAAUGUUUAUUUAGAUGGUCAGUGAUGGAGUCAGUUUAAAAGGUAAUAAAAACUCUGUCUCUGUUCUCCGAAUUGACCAAUCGUGAAGAGUCAGAAGUUUGGUCAACCUCCGGUUGGGUCACUUAUUUAACCUGAAAGUGUAAACGAGUCUGGAAAGAUUUAUAUCCCGUUUCCUGGGACCAGAUAAGGAAACUUUCCUCUGAGGAAUGUGUGGGUUUCACACCCAGGGUUGUCUUGAUUGCUACAGUCCCCCCUUCGUCACGGUGGUCCUGUCCAUGGAGCAUCGGGACGACGAGUAGACAACCAUGAAGCAGCAGCAGCAGCAGGUGUAUGCAAAUAGGACUGAUGCGUCUCGUCAUCACUAUGUGAAUCACUAGUACUGCUUUGAGAUAAAAUUAAGCAUGCAUUAAGCUAUCAAAUAAAAUCGUCUAGUUGUUAGACUUUUCUCAGUUAACUAUUGGUAGACUAAUGUGAAAGAAAAUCUCCUAAUUUUCAAUAUUAAUG
rnacentral:lncRNA from 1 species